AUUGAACGCUGGCGGCAGGCCUAACACAUGCAAGUCGAGCGGAUGACGGGAGCUUGCUCCUUGAUUCAGCGGCGGACGGGUGAGUAAUACCUAGGAAUCUGCCUGGUAGUGGGGGACAACGUUUCGAAAGGAACGCUAAUACCGCAUACGUCCUACGGGAGAAAGCAGGGGACCUUCGGGCCUUGCGCUAUCAGAUGAGCCUAGGUCGGAUUAGCUAGUUGGUGAGGUAAUGGCUCACCAAGGCUACGAUCCGUAACUGGUCUGAGAGGAUGAUCAGUCACACUGGAACUGAGACACGGUCCAGACUCCUACGGGAGGCAGCAGUGGGGAAUAUUGGACAAUGGGCGAAAGCCUGAUCCAGCCAUGCCGCGUGUGUGAAGAAGGUCUUCGGAUUGUAAAGCACUUUAAGUUGGGAGGAAGGGCAUUAACCUAAUACGUUAGUGUUUUGACGUUACCGACAGAAUAAGCACCGGCUAACUCUGUGCCAGCAGCCGCGGUAAUACAGAGGGUGCAAGCGUUAAUCGGAAUUACUGGGCGUAAAGCGCGCGUAGGUGGUUCGU
rnacentral:rRNA from 1 species